rnacentral:rRNA from 1 species
AUUGAACGCUGGCGGCAGGCCUAACACAUGCAAGUCGAGCGGCAGCGGAAAGUAGCUUGCUACUUUGCCGGCGAGCGGCGGACGGGUGAGUAGUGUCUGGGAAACUGCCUGAUGGAGGGGGAUAACUACUGGAAACGGUAGCUAAUACCGCAUAAUGUCGCAAGACCAAAGAGGGGGACCUUCGGGCCUCUUGCCAUCAGAUGUGCCCAGAUGGGAUUAGCUAGUAGGUGGGGUAACGGCUCACCUAGGCGACGAUCCCUAGCUGGUCUGAGAGGAUGACCAGCCAAACUGGAACUGAGACACGGUCCAGACUCCUACGGGAGGCAGCAGUGGGGAAUAUUGCACAAUGGGCGCAAGCCUGAUGCAGCCGUGCCGCGUGUAUGAAGAAGGCCUUCGGGUUGUAAAGUACUUUCAGCGGGGAGGAAGGUGUUGAGGUUAAUAACCUCAGCAAUUGACGUUACCCGCAGAAGAAGCACCGACUAACUCCGUGCCAGCCGCCGCCGUAA